UUCAAUUUCACUUUUUUGGACUGGACCAUAGUGAUAUGGUGGAAUACUAGGAGGUUUAACCCCUGGAAAUAAUGGAUUAUGGUGAUCAUGUGCACGCGGUGGUGGUAGGGUGGUAGGAACCAUGAACACCCCCGUAAAUUUGUGCAACAAUUCCUGCAAUCCACCUAAUUGCUGAGGUGACAGAUUAGAGGCCUCCAUUUUUCCCCCUUCCAAGGAAUAAAGUAAGAUGCUUAGGUUGGAUGAAGGGAAUUGUUUCUCAAUGUUAUGGCAAAAAGUCGCUUGUAACUAGGAGUUGGUAGAAGUGCGAGCUUGUGAGAGUGUAUAAUGGUCUUGGCUCACAGAGAAAUCCAGAGUAUACUUUUGGAAGUCCCAAAGCAUAGAGCUGAUUAAAGAAAGCCAUUGAACGCCUAACACGACAUCGCACCCGUCUAAUGGUAAAGAAAACAGAUCUGUAUGGCACUGAUAUGCACCAGGCUACAGAGAUAAUUAUGGACAAUAUCCCUGACUUAUGACCUUUCCCCCAUCGGUGAUCAUGACCUCAAAGGGUUUGGUAAGGUAACAGUGCCAACCAAGCUUCUUGAGUAACCAAGAAUCGAUAAAAUUAUGAGUGAUGCCCGAAUCGAGAAGGACUGUGACAGGUUGCUUCUCCAAGACCCCCUCAAUUUUCAUGGUUUGCACUGCAUAAUGGGUCGUAGUGCCAAAGAAAGCACAAGCACUGAGCUUCAUUCCCAACAAUGGA
rnacentral:lncRNA from 1 species